ACGGCUCAGUAACACGUGGAUAACCUGCCCUUGGNUCCGGCAUAACCCCGGGAAACUGGGGAUAAUUCCGGAUAACGCAUAUAUGCUGGAAUGCUUUAUGCGUAAAAUGGAUUCGUCUGCCCAAGGAUGGGUCUGCGGCCUAUCAGGUAGUAGUGGGUGUAAUGUACNUACUAGCCGACAACGGGUACGGGUUGUGAGAGCAAGAGCCCGGAGAUGGAUUCUGAGACAUGAAUCCAGGCCCUACGGGGCGCAGCAGGCGCGAAAACUUUACAAUGCGGGAAACCGUGAUAAGGGGACACCGAGUGCCAGCAUCAUAUGCUGGCUGUCCAGGUGUGUAGACUACACCCGUUAGCAAGGGCCGGGCAAGACCGGUGCCAGCCGCCGCGGUAACACCGGCGGCCCGAGUGGUGAUCGUGAUUAUUGGGUCUAAAGGGUCCGUAGCCGGUUUGGUCAGUCCUCCGGGAAAUCUGACGGCUCAACCGUUAGGCUUUCGGGGGAUACUGCCAGGCUUGGAACCGGGAGAGGUAAGAGGUACUACAGGGGUAGGAGUGAAAUCUUGUAAUCCCUGUGGGACCACCUGUGGCGAAGGCGUCUUACCAGAACGGGUUCGACGGUGAGGGACGAAAGCUGGGGGCACGAACCGGAUUAGAUACCCGGGUAGUCCCAGCCGUAAACGAUGCUCGCUAGGUGUCAGGCAUGGCGCGACCGUGUCUGGUGCCGCAGGGAAGCCGUGAAGCGAGCCACCUGGGAAGUACGGCCGCAAGGCUGAA
rnacentral:rRNA from 1 species